AUGCCCUUUUGGAUUCGCUGCCUCCUCCCCAAUCCUAGGGUUCGAUCUCUCUUCGGUUCCCUCUCCCGCAUUUCUCUCUCUUGUCCGCCGCCGCUGCCAACCAUCCUCCCCGUCCUCUCACCUCCUCUCCCAGCUCCUCCUUCCACUCCCUCCUCUCACCUCCUCCUUCGCCCCCUCCAACCUCCACUGAGCCGCUGCCAUGGCGACCGAGCUUCCAUUCGUCCCUCCCUCCCUCCUCGCGCCCGGAACACUAGCUCGUGGACUUGGCGAAGGUAUGAAUCGGAUCCGCAUCCCCUUCUUGUGGUUGGUUUUCUACGUCUCGAUCUUCUGCUGGUAGAGGAGGACCUCACCUCACCUUCUCUUCCUUUAAUUUUCCGCGGGUCACCACGGGCGCGGAGGUUACGGCAGGAGGGCGCUGGCCUUGUCCUGCUUGAGGAGGAGGAGGAGGGUGGUAUGGAUGAUGGAUCCCUCAUCCCCUGCCAUCAUCACGAUAGGAGAGGGAGAACGGCCGGCUAUGGCGGCAGACAGAUCCAAGCUGGGAAUAGGAGACUGACGCCAACGCAAUGGAGCUGCUCUGCUGUUCGUUAA
rnacentral:rRNA from 1 species